rnacentral:rRNA from 1 species
GAACCCUGAUUCCCCGUUACCCGUAGCCAACACGGGGGGCUCUUGCCCGGGCCGUCUAAAUUUGAUGGGACGGCGAGCAAACGGGCACGCCGCUAACAGCGGUCGUCACAUACCCAGAGUUCGCCUCAGCCUGGCGGGCGGCGUUAACCACCCGCCGCCGGUCAAGAUCCUAAUAAAUGCGCCCUCUCCCCGCGGAGGUAACCCCGUUAGGAGGAGGACUCGUGUGCACGUAUUAGCUCUGGGAUUCCUACAGGUGUCCGGACAAACAUCGCCCACCCCGUGUAUUAUCGCCGAUAUACUGAGCAGUUCGCGGCUUCCCCUUCUGUGUAGGGUGAGCAUAGGCGUGCAUGGCUUAACCCUCAAGACAA